CCUACGGGAGGCAGCAGUCUAGAAAUUUGCACAAUCGCCGAAAGGCGGAUGCAGCGACACCACGUGGAGGAUGACACCCCUCGGGGUGUAAACUCCUGUCAGAAGGGAAGAAGGCGCGGGCGUUAAUACCGCUCGUUGCUUGACGGUACCUUCAGAGGAAGCUCCGGCUAACUACGUGCCAGCAGCCGCGGUAAUACGUAGGGAGCGAGCGUUGUUCGGAUUUACUGGGCGUAAAGGGCACGUAGGCGGGUAUGCAAGUCGAUUGUGAAAUCCUCUGGCUCAACCGGAGAACUGCAGCCGAAACUGCACACCUUGAGUCCAGCAGAGGGAAUCGGAAUCCCAGGUGUAGCGGUGAAAUGCGUAGAUAUCUGGGAGAACAUCAGUGGCGAAGGCGGAUUCCUGGGCUGGUACUGACGCUGAGGUGCGAAAGCUAAGGGAGCGAACAGGAUUAGAUACCCUGGUAGUCUUAGCCGUAAACGAUGGGUACUAGGUGUUGGGGGACAUUGACCCCCUCAGUGCCGUAGCUAACGCAUUAAGUACCCCGCCUGGGGAGUACGGCCGCAAGGCUGAAACUCAAAUGAAUUGACGG
rnacentral:rRNA from 1 species